rnacentral:tRNA from 1 species
GGGUCUGUAGCUCAGUUUGGUUAGAGCGCUUCGUUGACAUCGAAGAGGCCAGCCGUUCAAGUCGGCUCAGACCCA